AGUGAACGCUGGCGGUAGGCCUAACACAUGCAAGUCGAACGGCAGCACAGUAAGAGCUUGCUCUUACGGGUGGCGAGUGGCGGACGGGUGAGGAAUACAUCGGAAUCUACUUUUUCGUGGGGGAUAACGUAGGGAAACUUACGCUAAUACCGCAUACGACCUACGGGUGAAAGCAGGGGAUCUUCGGACCUUGCGCGAUUGAAUGAGCCGAUGUCGGAUUAGCUAGUUGGCGGGGUAAAGGCCCACCAAGGCGACGAUCCGUAGCUGGUCUGAGAGGAUGAUCAGCAAAACUGGAGAUGAGAAACGGUCCAGACGCCUACGGGAGGCAGGAGUGGGGAAUAUUGGACAAUGGGCGCAAGCCUGAUCCAGCCAUACCGCGUGGUGAAGAAGGACUUCGGGUUGUAAAGCCCUUUUGUUGGGAAAGAAAAGCAGCAGGUUAAUACCCCGCUGUUCUGACGGUACCCAAAGAAUAAGCACCGGCUAACUUCGUG
rnacentral:rRNA from 1 species